rnacentral:rRNA from 1 species
GAUGAACGCUAGCGGCAGGCCUAACACAUGCAAGUCGAGGGAGAAGCCCUUUCGGGGGCAGAAACCGGCGCACGGGUGCGUAACGCGUAUGCAACCUACCUUUCACAGGGGGAUAGCCCGAAGAAAUUUGGAUUAAUACCCCAUAAUAUUGUUGGAUGGCAUCAUCUGGCAAUUAAAGCUACGACGGUGGAAGAUGGGCAUGCGUCCUAUUAGCUAGUUGGAGUGGUAACGGCACCCCAAGGCUACGAUAGGUAGGGGUCCUGAGAGGGAGAUCCCCCACACUGGUACUGAGACAGGGACCAGACUCCUACGGGAGGCAGCAGUGAGGAAUAUUGGUCAAUGGUCGGAAGACUGAACCAGCCAUGCCGCGUGCAGGAAGAAUGCCUUAUGGGUUGUAAACUGCUUUUAUAUGGGAAGAAUAAGGUGUACGAGUACAUUGANGACGGUNCCA